rnacentral:rRNA from 1 species
AUUGAACGCUGGCGGCAUGCUUUACACAUGCAAGUCGAACGGUAACAGGCCUUCGGGUGCUGACGAGUGGCGAACGGGUGAGUAAUGCAUCGGAACGUGCCCAGAGGUGGGGGAUAACGCAGCGAAAGCUGUGCUAAUACCUCAUGUGAUCUGAGGAUGAAAGCGGGGGACCAGGCAGCAAUGUUUGGCCUCGCGCCUUUGGAGCGGCCGAUGUCAGAUUAGGUAGUUGGUGAGGUAAAGGCCUACCAAGCCGACGAUCUGUAGCUGGUCUGAGAGGACGACCAGCCACACUGGAACUGAGACACGGCCCAGACUCCUACGGGAGGCAGCAGUGGGGAAUUUUGGACAAUGGGCGCAAGCCUGAUCCAGCAAUGCCGCGUGCGGGAAGAAGGCCUUCGGGUUGUAAAACGCUUUUGUACGGAACGAAAAGGCUCUGGCUAAUACCUGGGGCUGAUGACGGUACCGUAAGAAUAAGCACCGGCUAACUACGUG